rnacentral:rRNA from 1 species
AUUGAACGCUGGCGGCAUGCCUUACACAUGCAAGUCGAACGGCAGCACGGGAGCAAUCCUGGUGGCGAGUGGCGAACGGGUGAGUAAUAUAUCGGAACGUGCCCAGUCGUGGGGGAUAACGCAGCGAAAGCUGUGCUAAUACCGCAUACGAUCUAUGGAUGAAAGCGGGGGAUCGCAAGACCUAGCGCGAUUGGAGCGGCCGAUAUCAGAUUAGCUAGUUGGUGGGGUAAAGGCCCACCAAGGCGACGAUCUGUAGCUGGUCUGAGAGGACGACCAGCCACACUGGAACUGAGACACGGUCCAGACUCCUACGGGAGGCAGCAGUGGGGAAUUUUGGACAAUGGGCGCAAGCCUGAUCCAGCAAUGCCGCGUGCAGGAUGAAGGCCUUCGGGUUGUAAACUGCUUUUGUACGGAACGAAACGGUCCUUCCUAAUACAGAGGGCUAAUGACGGUACCGUAAGAAUAAGCACCGGCUAACUACGUGCCAGCCGCCGCCAUAA